GACAGAGGGUGCAAACGUUGUUCGGAUUUACUGGGCGUAAAGCGUGUGUAGGCGGCUUCGCAAGUUGGAUGUGAAAUCCCACGGCUCAACCGUGGACGUGCAUCCAAAACUGCGUCGCUAGAGUCUCGGAGAGGAAGGUGGAAUGCUUGGUGUAGAGGUGAAAUUCGUAGAUAUCAAGCAGAACACCCGUGGCGAAGGCGGCUCUCUGGGACGGUACUGACGCUGAGACGCGAAAGCGUGGGGAGCGAACAGG
rnacentral:rRNA from 1 species